UACGAAGGGGGGCUAGCGUUGCUCGGAAUCACUGGGCGUAAAGGGGUGCGUAGGCGGAUCGUUAAGUCGGGGGUGAAAUCCUGGAGCUCAACUCCAGAACUGCCUUCGAUACUGGCGAUCUUGAGUCCGGAAGAGGUGAGUGGAACUCCUAGUGUAGAGGUGGAAUUCGUAGAUAUUAGGAAGAACACCAGUGGCGAAGGCGGCUCACUGGUCCGGUACUGACGCUGAGGUGCGAAAGCGUGGGGAGCAAACAGGG
rnacentral:rRNA from 1 species